rnacentral:rRNA from 1 species
UACGUAGGGGGCAAGCGUUGUCCGGAUUUAUUGGGCGUAAAGAGCGUGUAGGCGGCCAGGUAGGUCCGCUGUGAAAACUCGAGGCUUAACCUCGAGAUGUCGGUGGAAACCAUCUGGCUAGAGUCCGGAAGAGGAGAGUGGAAUUCCUGGUGUAGCGGUGAAAUGCGCAGAUAUCAGGAAGAACACCCGUGGCGAAGGCGGCUCUCUGGGACGGUACUGACGCUGAGACGCGAAAGCGUGGUGAGCGAACAGG